AUUGAACGCUGGCGGCAGGCCUAACACAUGCAAGUCGAGCGGAGCUGCGGACGGGCGAGUAAUUCCUAGGAAUCUGCCCGGCCGUGGGGGAUCUCGUCCGGAAACGGGCGCUAAUACCGUAAACUAUCAGCUGGGCAUGGGUCGGAUUAGCUAGUUGGGUGGGUAAAGUCCUACCAAGGCAACGAUCCGUAACUGGUCUGAGAGGAUGAUCAGUCACACUGGAAUUGAGACACGGUCCAGACUCCUACGGGAGGCAGCAGUGGGGAUUAGUGGACAAUGGGCGAAAGCCUGAUCCAACCAUGCCGCGUGUGUGAAGAAGGUCUUCGUAUUGUAAAGCACUUUAAGUUGGGAGGCGUUACCAACAGAAUAAGCACCGGCUAACUUCGUGCCAGCAGCCGCGGUAAUUC
rnacentral:rRNA from 1 species